rnacentral:rRNA from 1 species
CCUACGGGUGGCAGCAGUGGGGAAUUUUGCGCAAUGCUCGUAAGAGUGACGCAGCGACGCCGCGUGAAUGACGAAGGCCUUCGGGUCGUAAAGUUCUUUCGACAGGGAAGAAAAUGCCUAUAAGUAACUGUGUAUGUAUUGACGGUACCUGUAUAAGCAGCCCCGGCUAACUCCGUGCCAGCAGCCGCGGUAAUACGGAGGGGGCGAGCGUUGUUCGGAGUGACUGGGCGUAAAGAGCACGUAGGCGGUGUUGUAAGUCAAGGGUGAAAGACAAGAGCUCAACGUGGGAAAGGCGGUUGAAGAUGGCAAAGUGGAGUGUGUGAGAGGAUAGUGGAAUUGCAGGGGGAGGAGGGAAAUCCGUAGA